AGGGCACAUGGCGGAUGCCUUGGCUCUCGGAGGCGAUGAAGGACGUGAUAAGCUGCGAUAAGCUGCGGGUAGGUGCAAAUGACCUUUGAUCCGCGGAUUUCCGAAUGGGACAACCCGGUACUUUGAAGAAGUAUCAUCCUGCAUUGCAGGAGGCUAACGCAGGGAACUGAAACAUCUUAGUACCUGCAGGAAAAGAAAAUAAACAAUGAUUCCCCCAGUAGUGGCGAGCGAACGGGGAAUAGCCCAAACCAUCCAUGUUACGGCAUGGGUGGGGUUGUAGGACCACGCCGUGGCAAGAAAGUUGGUGAGCAGAAUGUUCUGGAAAGUACAGCCAUAGAGCAUGACAGCUGCGUAUGCGAAGCCAAGCGAAGCCUAGUGGUAUCCUGAGUAGCGCGGAGCACGAGGAAUUCUGCGUGAAUCUGCCGGGACCAUCCGGUAAGGCUAAAUACUCCCGAGAGACCGAUAGUGAACCAGUACUGUGAAGGAAAGGUGAAAAGCACUUCGAACAGAAGAGUGAAAUAGUUCCUGAAACCAUGUGCCUACAAGCGGUCGGAGCACCUUCUGGUGUGACGGCGUGCCUUUUGCAUAAUGAACCUACGAGUUACUUUUUCCGGCGAGGUUAAGGAUUUCAGAUCUGCAGCCGAAGCGAAAGCGAGUCUGAACAGGGCGUAUAGUCGGAAGGAGUAGACGCGAAACCAAGUGAUCUACCCUUGGGCAGGUUGAAGGAUGGGUAACACCAUCUGGAGGACCGAACCAAUAAGCGUUGAAAAGCUUCUGGAUGACCUGAGGGUGGGGGUGAAAGGCUAAUCAAACUUGGAGAUAGCUCGUACUCCCCGAAAUGCAUUUAGGUGCAGCCUUGACUUAUACUGGCAUGAGGUAGAGCGACUGAUAAGAUGCGAGGGCUUCACCGCCUAUCAAGUCUUGACAAACUCCGAAUGCGUGUCAGUUCUAUGUCAGGAGUGAGGGCAUGGGUGCUAAGGUCCAUGUCCUAAAGGAGAACAAUCCGGACCAACAGCUAAGGUCCCGAAAUGAAUACUAAGUUGAACUAACGAAGUCAGAUUGCUAAGACAGCUAGGAUGUUGGCUUGGAAGCAGCCAUUCAUUUAAAGAGUGCGUAACAGCUCACUAGUCGAGGAGUUUGGCGUGGAUAAUAAUCGGGCAUAAGUAUUCUACCGAAGCUUUGGGAUGAGAAAUCAUCGGUAGGGGAGCAUUCCACUCGGCGUCGAAGGUGAAGCGCGAGCUUUGCUGGAGCGUGUGGAAAAGCAAAUGUAGGUAUAAGUAACGAUAAAGGGGGUGGGAAACCCCCUCGCCGAAAGACUAAGGUUUCCUGAUCAACGCUAAUCGGAUCAGGGUAAGUCGGGUCCUAAGGCUCAGCCGAACGGCGAGGCCGAUGGCAGAACCGGUUAAUAUUCCGGUACUACCUGUGGGAGUGACGUGGAGACGGAGUCGUGACAGCGCCGCGGACUGACGGAAUAGUCCGUUGAAGGGUGUAGAUGCUGAUUGUUCCAGGCAAAUCCGGAGCAAGAGUCGAACCUGAUAGUAUGGAGCGUUCUUAGAACAAUCCAAUAGUGCGUGUAAUCAUACUUCCAAGAAAAUCCGCUAAACUUAAUCCUGCAGGUACCCGUACCGCAAACGGACACACGUAGUCGGGUUGAAUAUACUAAGGCGCUUGAGUGAUUCACGGUUAAGGAACUAGGCAAACUGACCCUGUAACUUCGGGAUAAAGGGUCCUCGCUUUACGGCGAGGCGCAGAGAAUAGGUCCAGGCAACUGUUUAACAAAAACACAGGGCUGUGCAAAAUUGAAAGAUGAAGUAUACAGCCUGACACCUGCCCGGUGCUGGAAGGUUAAGAGGAGAUGUCAUCGCAAGAGAAGCAUUGAAUUGAAGCCCCAGUAAACGGCGGCCGUAACUAUAACGGUCCUAAGGUAGCGAAAUUCCUUGUCGGGUAAGUUCCGACCUGCACGAAUGGUGUAAUGAUCUGGACGCUGUCUCAACCGUGAGCUCAGUGAAAUUGUAGUAUCGGUGAAGAUGCCGAUUACCCGCGAUGGGACGAAAAGACCCCGUGAACCUUUACUAUAGCUUA
rnacentral:rRNA from 1 species